AGUGAACGCUGGCGGUAGGCCUAACACAUGCAAGUCGAACGGCAGCACAGUAAGAGCUUGCUCUUACGGGUGGCGAGUGGCGGACGAGUGAGGAAUACAUCGGAAUCUACUUUUUCGUGGGGGAUAACGUAGGGAAACUUACGCUAAUACCGCAUACGACCUACGGGUGAAAGCAGUGGAUCUUCGGACCUUGCGCGAUUGAAUGAGCCGAUGUCGGAUUAGCUAGUUGGUGGGGUAAAGGCCCACCAAGGCGACGAUCCGUAGCUGGUCUGAGAGGAUGAUCAGCCACACUGGAACUGAGACACGGUCCAGACUCCUACGGGAGGCAGCAGUGGGGAAUAUUGGACAAAGGGCGCAAGCCUGAUCCAGCCAUACCGCGUGGGUGAAGAAGGCCUUCGGGUUGUAAAGCCCUUUUGUUGGGAAAGAAAAGCAGCAGGUUAAUACCCCGCUGUUCUGACGGUACCCAAAGAAUAAGCACCGGCUAACUUCGUG
rnacentral:rRNA from 1 species